GCCAGGCGUGGUGGUGCGUGCCUGUAAUCCCAGCUACUCAGGAGGCUGAGGCAGGAUAAUCACUUGAACCCGGGAGGCAGAGGUUGCAGUGAGUCAAGAUCAUGCCACUGCACUGCACUCCAGCCUGGGUAAUAGAGUGAGACUCUGUCUCAA
rnacentral:SRP_RNA from 2 species